CCCCUCUCAGGGUUGCACCUGGAGAGUUUACAGUACUCUACCAGUCUUGAAUACAGGAGGGAGAGUCGAGCAGAGGCCUAUUCACUCCAUUCCCAGCUUGGGCAGUGGCUAGCGAGUGGAAGACAACCUGCUACAAGU